CUGAUAGUACUUAGUUUUAUUUGACAAAUGACAAUUUGAUAAUAGGUACACAAUGUACAUGAUUUCAGCAAAUGCACAAUUAAAUCCUAUUAUUUAGUGCUAACAACCCUUUCUAUUGGGUUACAAGUUCAGUACUUUAAAAAAGAAAAAUACCUAAGUAGACAAGCUUCAUUUUCUUUUUCCAAGUCAAUGAAAGUUAAUCCGUAGUGAUUUUAAUACCUGGAUGAGUAAUAUAAAGACUCAUUGUUGGAUUGUUGGAGAACAUGAGAUAUACAGUAUAUGGGCUGAUUUUCUAGUCUGACGUGUCCAAUUGCCCGAUUGCAUCAUGCUUCCUCUCCACCAAUGCCGAUCCCUGCUCUGAUUGAGGAGAACGAAGCUAACCCACGCUCCUUCCGACACGUGGGCAGCAUGCCGUAUGCAUCUUAUCACCUACACUUUGACGAGUGCAGUGCAGCCCAGCGUUGUGUACGGAGAGACACACCCUGAGAGCACUCUCUUUUCUCAUCUGUGCAGGCGCCAUCAAUCAGCCAGCAGAGGUCGUAAUUGCACCAGUCAUGAGAGAGAGACCCCAUCCAGCUAUACCGCCCAUAUCUGAACAACAGGCCAAUCGUUGUUCAUGUGGCCGCUCAGCCUUAGCCGGCAGGCAGACCUGAGAUUUGAUACGAUGUAUUCGAGAACCCAGCUCUGGUUCCAGCGUGUGUUUUUUUACACUACACUUGAUUUCUGAUAAUAAAAUCUAGGAAGGAAACAAGUAAACACAAAACACAUUCUGUAAAACGUAAUACAUAAACUUAGAUGUCAAUUUAAA